CUACGGGUGGCUGCAGUGGGGAAUAUUGGACAAUGGGGGGAACCCUGAUGCAGCAACGCCGCGUGGAGGAUGACGCAUUUCGGUGUGUAAACUCCUUUUAUAUGUCAAGAAAAUGACGGUAGCAUAUGAAUAAGCACCGGCUAACUCCGUGCCAGCAGCCGCGGUAAUACGGAGGGUGCAAGCGUGUACUCGGAAUCACUGGGCGUAAAGGACGCGUAGGCGGGUUGGAAAGUCAGGUGUGAAAUCCUACAGCUUAACUGUAGAACUGCACUUGAAACUUCUAAUCUAGAGUAUGGGAGGGGGAGAUGGAAUUAGUGGUGUAGGGGUAAAAUCCGUAGAUAUCACUAGGAAUACCUAAAGCGAAGGCGAUCUCCUGGAACAUUACUGACGCUAAGGCGUGAAAGCGUGGGGAGCAAACAGGAUUAGAUACCCUUGUAGUC
rnacentral:rRNA from 1 species